GGCGAACGCUGGCGGCGCGCUUAACACAUGCAAGUCGAGCGAUGAAACUUUAACAGAACCCUUCGGGGCGAAGAUAAAGUGGAUUAGCGGCGGACGGGUGAGUAACACGUGAGUAACCUGCCUUAGACAUUGGGAUAGCCUCGGGAAACCGGGAUUAAUACCAAAUAAAAUCAUAAUGACACAUGUCAUAACGAUCAAAACUCCGGUGGUCUAAGAUGGACUCGCGUCCCAUUAGCUAGUUGGUAGAGUAAAAGCCUACCAAGGCGACGAUGGGUAGCCGGCGGGGGGGGGGGAGGGGCCACAUGGGAAAGGAAAACGGACCCAAACUCCAAGGGGAGGAGGAGGGGGGAAUUAUGGAAAAAGGGAGGGAAGUGUGAGGGGGCGCGGCGGGUGGAAGAAAGAGGGUUUCCGGGGGGAAAAGUUUUUUAAUAGGGAAAAAUAAGGAGGGAACAAAAAAAAAAACCCCGGGCAACCAAGGGG
rnacentral:rRNA from 1 species